GAGCUUCCGUCACAUGACACUGUACUUCGCUUUCUGAAGUUGACCGUAGCUAGUUGAUCGUGUAAAACCCUGAAAAACUAUUUGUUGUAAGCUACCUAGUAGUUAUUAAAGGCCUUAACUAAGACUAUUAGAUAGUAGAGAACUUGUUUCCUGCUGCGCAAGACAGAGUGCAACCAAACAAGAAUGUUAGGAGGAGAUCUCGGGGACAAUUCAGGAUUUCAUCAGUAUAUGAUAUGUACAUCAGGAUUCCAAGAAAAGAUAGGAUCUAACUAAGCUGGAACAAAUGGUUUUUUUAUAAUUUAGUUUUACAAGGAAAUUUCAUGUUAAUUGGUCACAUGAUCUUUUUUUCAUUAAGGAAACUUAAAUUAUUAUGACAAAACAAAAUGUGCAAUUACUAUGUUUAAUAUUGAAUACUUUUUGAUAUAUGUGACGUUGGCUGUUCUUGAUUCUGGACGUGCCUUAAUACACCUGAGUUUUCAACUGACUGCUAGUAACUGCUAGUACAUCUCUGUACACAUGAGAAGAUUGUACACAUGAGAAGAACACUUUGCGUAUUCAGUUGUGCAUCCAUCAAUUUUACACACAGCAUGAAAAUCUUCAUCUUCACUGUCUUCAUCUAGUCUUCUACCUGGGUUGCACAUCGAGCAAUCAUAGCAGCUAAUUGUAGCACUACUGCUUCAUGGUUGAUCCAAGGUCAUUAUUUACAGCCCAUAGAGCAUCACCUGAUUCUAUGCAUGCAGCUGAGCCAGAUAAAGGAGGGAGGAGCUGCACAUGGAAAUUCGGCGCUAAGCAAGCUAGAUACCUCUUGAGCAGUGAAACUAUACUUUCUAAGCACUUAAAAGAUGUCAAUAUUUGAGGAACCAUUUGCAGAGUGGGACUACUUCCAGCCAAAGAUACCUGAAGCAGUUUGUGAAAGUUUUAAAGAUGAACUUAUUGAUGGCGCUGCAUUCAUGGAGUUAAGCGAAAGCGAUGUGAAGUCACUAGUGAAACCACUUCUAGAUUGAUAAGUAGCAAAGCCAAUCCCAAGGUAAAAACAUGUUAAACUAUCUACGUCAAAGGACGUGUCAGACAUAUCCACUUCUUCUAGAAGAGACUUUGCAAUACCGCGAAACCGGCUCUGGAUUCAGAGCUGCGAAGCGAGAUUGUAAGAGAUUUAGUUACACACAUGUACUUUUUUGUGGGAAAGCCUACUUCCCACUAAGUUUCCCGCAAACUCGUUGCCAACUACACAUUUAUGAAGGACUCAGGAAUAGAUCCCUGUGGAUCGCACAAAAUG